GGGAAUGUGGCUCAGUGGUAGAGUGCUUGCCUAGCAUGCAAGAGGCCCUGGGUUUGAUCCUCAGCACUGCCA
rnacentral:tRNA from 3 species